rnacentral:rRNA from 1 species
AUUGAACGCUGGCGGCAUGCUUUACACAUGCAAGUCGAACGGUAACAGGCCGCAAGGUGCUGACGAGUGGCGAACGGGUGAGUAAUGCAUCGGAACGUGCCAGUCGUGGGGGAUAACUACUCGAAAGAGUAGCUAAUACCGCAUACGAUCUAUGGAUGAAAGCGGGGGACCGUAAGGCCUCGCGCGAUUGGAGCGGCCGAUGUCAGAUUAGGUAGUUGGUGGGGUAAAGGCUCACCAAGCCAACGAUCUGUAGCUGGUCUGAGAGGACGACCAGCCACACUGGGACUGAGACACGGCCCAGACUCCUACGGGAGGCAGCAGUGGGGAAUUUUGGACAAUGGGCGCAAGCCUGAUCCAGCAAUGCCGCGUGCAGGAAGAAGGCCUUCGGGUUGUAAACUGCUUUUGUACGGAACGAAACGGCUCUGGUUAAUACCCGGGGCUAAUGACGGUACCGUAAGAAUAAGCACCGGCUAACUACGUG